rnacentral:rRNA from 1 species
ACUCCUACGGGAGGCAGCAGUGGGGAAUUUUGGACAAUGGGCGAAAGCCUGAUCCAGCAAUGCCGCGUGAGUGAAGAAGGCCUUCGGGUUGUAAAGCUCUUUUGUCAGGGAAGAAACGGUGAAAGCUAAUAUCUUUUGCUAAUGACGGUACCUGAAGAAUAAGCACCGGCUAACUACGUGCCAGCAGCCGCGGUAAUACGUAGGGUGCAAGCGUUAAUCGGAAUUACUGGGCGUAAAGCGUGCGCAGGCGGUUUUGUAAGUCUGAUGUGAAAUCCCCGGGCUCAACCUGGGAAUUGCAUUGGAGACUGCAAGGCUAGAAUCUGGCAGAGGGGGGUAGAAUUCCACGUGUAGCAGUGAAAUGCGUAGAUAUGUGGAGGAACACCGAUGGCGAAGGCAGCCCCCUGGGUCAAGAUUGACGCUCAUGCACGAAAGCGUGGGGAGCAAACAGGAUUAGAUACCCCGGUAGUCC